rnacentral:rRNA from 1 species
CACGCCGUAAACGAUGAAUACUAGGUGUAGGGGGUAUCGACUCCCUCUGUGCCGCAGCUAACGCAAUAAGUAUUCCACCUGGGGAGUACGGCCGCAAGGUUGAAACUCAAAGGAAUUGACGGGGGCCCGCACAAGCAGUGGAUUAUGUGGUUUAAUUCGAAGCAACGCGAAGAACCUUACCAGGACUUGACAUCCCUUGACCGCUAUAGAGAUAUAGUUUCCCUUCGGGGCAAGGAGACAGGUGG